rnacentral:rRNA from 1 species
GUCGAACGAAAAACAGAAGCUUGCUUCUGUGGACGAGUGGCGAAAGGGUGAGUAACGCGUGAGUAACCUGCCCUCAAGUUGGGAAUAACUCUUGGAAACGAGAGCUAAAACCGAAUGUGAAUAUUUUCCCGCAUGGGUUUAUAUUUAAAAAUUUAUUGCUUGAGGAUGGGCUCGCGUACCAUUAGCUAGUUGGUGUGGUAACGGCAUACCAAGGCUACGAUGGUUAGGUGGAUUGGGAGAUCGGUCACCCACACUGGGACUGAGACACUGCCCAGACUCCUACGGGAGGCUGCAGUCGAGAAUCUUCCGCAAUGCGCGAAAGCGUGACGGAGCAAUGCCGCGUGGUGGAUGAAGGCCUUAGGGUUAUAAACACCUGUCACAUGGGACGAAUAUUUGACGGUACCAUGAGAGGAAGCCACGGCUAACUACGUGCCAGCAGCCGCGGUAAUACGUAGGUGGCGAGCGUUGUUCGGAUUUGUUGGGCGUAAAGGGUCCGCAGGGGGUUUAUCAGGUCUGAUGUGAAAUCCCAGGCUCACCUUGGAACCGCAUGGAAACUAGUAAACUAGAGUAUCCGAGAGGUAAAUGGAAUUCCUGGUGUAGCGGUGGAAUGCGUAGAUAUC